UUAUAUUUUAAUCUGGUUUUUGUAAUACGCGGAGGUUUGUUUGAAAGAAUUCGAAGACUUUUAAGUGCGACUACUUUUAUCCGGACGCAGAUUAUGUUCUUCGUGGUACGCAAACCAAACCCAAGGAGUUCCCAUACAUGAUAUUUUGGUCUAUAUUCAUCCAAUUGCUUGUCUUUGGACUUCUUCCGACAUUAAUCUGGACACUGUGACUGUGAUCGGGUAUGGAAAUACACGCUUUGUUGGAUCUCAAUCUCCACAUCUCUUAAAGGCAGACUUAGAUAUUAUACCAAAUAAGGAUUGCCAAAGUUUUUAUAUAGAUGAAGACAACUUACCAAAAGGUAUUCUUGAUCAACAAAUUUGUGCGAAAGACCCUGAAAAUAAACAAGAUGCUUGUCAGGGUGAUUCUGGUGGUCCGCUUAUAACAAAAGUGCGACGGAUGGUGGUUGUACGACCUUUUACAUUUGGUAUAACUUCCGUUGGACAAGGUUGUGGUGGUCAGACGCCUGGUGUCUAUAUGCGCGUGUCAGAGUUCGUUGAUUGGAUUGUAGCGAUUGUGUGGUCCAGUUAAGAUAACUGGACCAAAUUUAUUUAAAGAAAAUU